UACGUAGGGGGCAAGCGUUGUCCGGAUUUAUUGGGCGUAAAGAGCUCGUAGGCGGUCUGUUGCGUCGGCUGUGAAAACCCGGGGCUCAACCCCGGGCCUGCAGCCGAUACGGGCAGACUAGAGUUCGGCAGGGGAGACUGGAAUUCCUGGUGUAGCGGUGGAAUGCGCAGAUAUCAGGAGGAACACCGGUGGCGAAGGCGGGUCUCUGGGCAGUAACUGACGCUGAGGAGCGAAAGCGUGGGGAGCGAACAGG
rnacentral:rRNA from 1 species